rnacentral:rRNA from 1 species
AUGCUGCGCCGUCUUCAACGUGUCGGUGCCCAGGCGAUUGCUGCCCUAUGGCCAGACAUGCUGGUUCUGCGUACUCCCAGUCGGACUCCCGACUGGCUGGAGGUCGCGGCUAGUCGUCUUGAGGCUUGGAAGGGUUACUCGGCCCGGGCUGGAGCGCGCCGGGCCUUGGAAUUCGUCAAGUCAUGGUAUCCAGGGAUGGACCUGGUCUGGCUGGCCGCGUUCCGGUCAGAGGCCCAGGCGGAGCUGAUAGCUGUGGAAGACGUCAUCGUCACGCGUGCAGCGGCGAUCGCCGACUAUGCAAACACUAGCGUCUUCGUCCCUGAUCAGGAUGAAGAUGGCGGGGAGGCGCCGCCAGAGUGGUUUGGGAUGAACCCAGAUUACGACGAGGACUCAGCGGAGGUGAUUGCUUCUAGCGCCAAGGAGGAAGGCGAGGCGGAGGACGGAGGUGAGACGGAGGCGCCAGAAGACGGAGCGGGCGACCAGCCUCAGCUCGACCGCGCCUCCAGCAAUGAGCCGCGCCUGACCGAGCCGGCCGCCGCCGGAGACGAUCAAGCCGAGACUGCCCAGCCGGCUGCCCCGGCGCCUGACACUGCCGUCUCUUCCGAUCCUCCGAACCCAUCUGCCGCUUCAUAG